rnacentral:rRNA from 1 species
GCCCCGGUAAACGGCGGCCGUAACUAUAACGGUCCUAAGGUAGCGAAAUUCCUUGUCGGGUAAGUUCCGACCUGCACGAAUGGCGUAAUGAUGGCCAGGCUGUCUCCACCCGAGACUCAGUGAAAUUGAACUCGCUGUGAAGAUGCAGUGUACCCGCGGCAAGACGGAAAGACCCCGUGAACCUUUACUAUAGCUUGACACUGAACAUUGAGCCUUGAUGUGUAGGAUAGGUGGGAGGCUUUGAAGUGUGGACGCCAGUCUGCAUGGAGCCGACCUUGAAAUACCACCCUUUAAUGUUUGAUGUUCUAACGUUGGCCCGUAAUCCGGGUUGCGGACAGUGUCUGGUGGGUAGUUUGACUGGGGCGGUCUCCUCCUAAAGAGUAACGGAGGAGCACGAAGGUUGGCUAAUCCUGGUCGGACAUCAGGAGGUUAGUGCAAUGGCAUAAGCCAGCUUGACUGCGAGCGUGACGGCGCGAGCAGGUGCGAAAGCAGGUCAUAGUGAUCCGGUGGUUCUGAAUGGAAGGGCCAUCGCUCAACGGAUAAAAGGUACUCCGGGGAUAACAGGCUGAUACCGCCCAAGAGUUCAUAUCGACGGCGGUGUUUGGCACCUCGAUGUCGGCUCAUCACAUCCUGGGGCUGAAGUAGGUCCCAAGGGUAUGGCUGUUCGCCAUUUAAAGUGGUACGCGAGCUGGGUUUAGAACGUCGUGAGACAGUUCGGUCCCUAUCUGCCGUGGGCGCUGGAGAACUGAGGGGGGCUG